rnacentral:rRNA from 1 species
UGGGGAAUAUUGCACAAUGGGCGAAAGCCUGAUGCAGCGACGCCGCGUGAGGGAUGACGGCCUUCGGGUUGUAAACCUCUUUCGACAGGGACGAAGCGCAAGUGACGGUACCUGUAGAAGAAGCACCGGCCAACUACGUGCCAGCAGCCGCGGUAAUACGUAGGGUGCGAGCGUUGUCCGGAAUUACUGGGCGUAAAGAGCUUGUAGGCGGUUUGUCGCGUCGUCUGUGAAAACUCACAGCUCAACUGUGAGCUUGCAGGCGAUACGGGCAGACUUGAGUACUGCAGGGGAGACUGGAAUUCCUGGUGUAGCGGUGAAAUGCGCAGAUAUCAGGAGGAACACCGGUGGCGAAGGCGGGUCUCUGGGCAGUAACUGACGCUGAGAAGCGAAAGCGUGGGUAGCGAACAGGAUUAGAUACCCUGGUAGUCCACGCCGUANCGGUGGGUACUAGGUGUGGGUUUCCUUCCACGGGAUCCGUGCCGUAGCUACGCAUUAAGUACCCCGCCUGGGGAGUACGGCCGCAAGGCU